CUUGUACUCCCUCCGUCCGGAAAUACUUGUCGGAGGAAUAGAUGUAUCUAGACAUAAUUUAGUUUUAGAUACAUCCACUUUUAUGCAUUUCUCCGACAAGUAUUUCCGGACGGAGGGAGUAUAUU
rfam:Triticum aestivum genome assembly, contig: Triticum_aestivum_CS42_TGACv1_scaffold_099912_2AL